UGGGUGCAGAGAACUGUUUAUCCGGUCU
rnacentral:piRNA from 1 species